CAAUAGUUGUGAGGUCUACUAACGGGACCAGCAAGCGAUGGCGUGAUGAUCUGCGGUGCGGUCCGGAGUUCCCUGCCCCGGGUGCAGAUCCCGGGGAGUGUGACCCUGAGUCCUGCUUCCCGUGCUGCUCCCCGUGGGGCUACUGUGGGAACACUCCUGACCACUGUGACUGUCCAGGCUGUGUGAACUACAAAAAUGUUUAUGGAGUUGAGCACAGUCCUGCAUGGCCUGGCCGCAGCGACAAGACGCAGGUAACCGUAACAUGGAGAGAAGACUUCCGCUGUGGUCCGGGGGUGUCUGCCCCAGAGGCUGAGGUAGCCGAGUGCAACCCGUACUCCUGUAACCCCUGCUGCUCUCCCUACGGCUGGUGCGGUAACACUGAUGAUCACUGUGAAUGUCCGGACUGUGUGGACUACAGGUCUCAUGGACUUGCUGGAUCCCGGUGGAGGGAAGAUGGCCGCUGCGGUCUGGACUUCCCUGCUCCAGGGACAGGCAUAGCAGAAUGUGACCCCAUCUCCCUGUCCCCAUGCUGCUCUGCGGCUGGGAGGUGCGGCGGUACAGCUGAGCACUGCAAGUGUGAAGGAUGCGUCGACUUCCGAACUGGUACGGCUAUAGAAUAAAGUGAUUAUUGUUACAUAACUGUAUUUUCACCCACGUUUUGCUAGCCGUAUGUCACCUUCCUCAUGGUAAUUCUGACUGGAUCCCAUUGUACUGCAGUACUAGGUGUUACUGAAUAGUUACAGAUACGGUCACAGACGUUAACUGUUUGCGUCUGUAAAAUCAAGCAAUGACACCUAGUGCUGCAGUGCAAUGUUUACCAGUCAUAAUAACUCCGAUGAAGGUGAACAACGGUCACCGCAACGUCCGUGAAAAUACAGUCACGGAUCAGUAAAAAGAGUCAC